rnacentral:rRNA from 1 species
GACGAACGCUGGCGGCGUGCUUAACACAUGCAAGUCGAACGGAAAGGCCCUGCUUUUGUGGGGUGCUCGAGUGGCGAACGGGUGAGUAACACGUGAGUAACCUGCCCUUGACUUUGGGAUAACUUCAGGAAACUGGGGCUAAUACCGGAUAGGAGCUCCUGCUACAUGGUGGGGGUUGGAAAGUUUCGGCGGUUGGGGAUGGACUCGCGGCUUAUCAGCUUGUUGGUGGGGUAGUGGCUUACCAAGGCUUUGACGGGUAGCCGGCCUGAGAGGGUGACCGGCCACAUUGGGACUGAGAUACGGCCCCGACUCCUACGGGAGGCAGCAGUGGGGAAUAUUGCACAAUGGGCGGCAGCCUGAUGCAGCAACGCCGCGUGCGGGAUGACGGCCUUCGGGUUGUAAACCGCUUUCGCCUGUGACGAAGCGUGAGUGACGGUAAUGUGUAAAGAAGCACCGGCUAACUACGUG